GUCCGUCCUUAACUUCUUACCAUCACUCACUGCUCUCAAAGAGUCACACUUUCCCCAACAAACACUUGAGUUCUCAACACAUACAAGUAGGACUGCAGAGUCGCAUCGUAUUUACAAUCAAGAUUUUGGACUUCACAGUUAAUUGAACUUGAUGUUGUUUAGAGCUCCAGUGCAUCUGUAGGAUUAUUGUGAUGAAUAGAAGCAGUAAUAGUUGAUGUGAAGAACGUACGGUGUGUUAGGGUUAGACGGUGUCUUCUCUGUUUAAAUGGCCAAAUGCAUUAAGUCUGUUUUCUUCCCAAAGACGGAGAAGUUAUUUCAUAAAUAAUCACGGUCUUAGUUGUGAGCAGACUCAUUUUGAUUAGUAUUGAGCAGUAAUCCAGUCAGCUCUGAUUGGAUGAUUUUCAUUUCAAAAUACAGAAAUAGAUAUCACGGUUUAAACUGACUUACAUUUGGUUGAUUUUUGCUAUUUACGUUACAUAUUGUUUCAACAUCCUUUCAAUGUAUUUCAAAUGUUGAAAACCCAGAUGAUGAAAAAAACCUCUACAAACCACUUAAUCGCUCACAGUCACCAUACUAAUAAGUCAUAUUUUGUGUUAUUUUGCUCACCAUACUCGCAGCAUUUAGUUUUUAAUAUAUCUGACCGAUACUGCUUCAGAGCUACACAUCCCCCAUCCAACCGUCCUUAUUGUAAGCACAACCCUGAGACCUAUCGAUGAUCGAUACUCAUUGAUCGCUAUAGUUUUCUCCUGGCACGCAGCACUUGUCAGAUACUACAGUUAACAGUGUAUACAUUUUGACCUCCACAGCAAACGAGUCAUCUGGCGGAUGCCAAAUGAGAUUAGGGAGGCUUUUCCUCUGGCCUCUGUGUGAGCCGCUGCACGAGUGUUUUGUUAUGCGACUUGUGGUUAUGCAGAAUCUCUAAACAUCUGAACCGGAGUUAGAUUACCUCGGGGGAUUGGAUGCUUUCUCUCCUGUCACGGCUGUUUUUGGAAGCAGCCAAUUUUACACCACGAAUGGCAGUGCUCAUUAGGCUUUAGGUUGUGGAUUAGAGAGCGGCGUUGUAUUGAAGGGCCCGAGCAUAGAACAGGAGCCCCCCUGCCGUGCGCGUAGCUACAAAGUCGGCCCGGGCAACAAAGAACACGAGUCUUUGUGUGGGUGUAUAAACUGCCUCUGAAGCCUUGUGGAUGUGCAUUUUUGUUAAACCCACUUGUUUGACUUUGCCCAGCGUGUUUUUUUGUGUGUGCGUGUGUCUGUCAGACUGUGUCCUAAGGUAGAAUCAUCUCCUCUCUGCUGUCUGGGUCCCCGAGAGGCUUGUUAAGCUGCUGGGCCCUCCUGGAGCCAGCGCAGGGAGAGGCAGACAUGACUGCAGUGCUGGAAAAUGAAGCUAGACGCACCAUUACCCCCCCACGGUGCCAGCGUGUUUGUUUUUGCAGCGUGAUGUAAGCACCUCGGCACACGAAACGAAGGACAUGUGGACCGCGCAUACUGUAAAAAGACAAUUUAGCUCAAGAAAUCCUAGUUUUUUGGUCUCUGCCACUGCGGUGGAAAAGUGAUGGUGAACACUGUAUCCAAAGUAGUAGCUUGUAGCAUUUGAAAAUGCAUUAGGAGAAUACAUUACAGUAAAAUGCAAACACUUCAUUCUGCUUAAAGGCGAUCAGGGUUGGAGUCAGAAUUUCAGAAAAAGUCUAAAAAUCUUUUCCUCAGUUUUUUUUUGUCUGCAAACUUAAAAUACUAAAGCUAUUUAUAUUUAGAUUUGGAUUGUUCAUUUUUUGCCUAGAAACUGUUUUUAAUCUAAAGUAGCAGAGCCUUAAACCUAAAGAAUCUACAGAAAUACACUCCUUCGCUUUCUUGCUGCGAGUCAGACGAUAGACACCACUGUCACGUCUGAAGGUAAAACCAGCAGCUGGUUAGCUCCGUCCAAAGAUAAGCCUGUUACUAAAAGUUCAUGGACGUUUCUUUUUUUUUUCUUUUUUUUGCCAGGCCUAGUUGCCAGGCAACCAGCAGAGACUUCAGGAAGUUACUGGUCCUGGGCCAAUAAUUAAUUAAUUACAUAACACCCUGUAAAAAUGCUGAAUUGUUGUUUUUUUACCCCUUUCGUACAGAUGAAAUAAUGGAGACAUUUCUUUAAGGUUGAUUGGUGAGCUUCAGAGAGGGCUGCUCGGCUGAUUCUGUUCCCUCUGGACAGAGCCAGGCUAGCUGUCGGCCCUGUUUCCAGUCUUUAUGCUAAGCUAAGCUAGCCAGCUGAUAGUGUACAGACAUGAGUGGUAUCAAACCUCUCAUCUGUCAUUUGCACAGAAGAAUUUGACAAGAUUAUAUCACGGACAACAGGCGUCCGCCGAAAGCCCGUCGAGGAUCAUUUUGAAUCCUAAAAGCAGUCGUAUUUCACAUCACAGGUGGGAUCGUUCAUUGGUGGGAAUCCUUCCUGAUUAGAGUUGCGGUCCACAUCCAGCUGUUGCGUUCAUGUGGAAUCAGACAGCUGAGGUAGUUAGUCAUUCCUGGGGGGACAACAGUUAGUCUGCUCUGCUGGGCACCAGCUCAAAGCCCACAGGAGACGCACAGAGAGACGGUAACAGGUGUCGCUGUGAUGCAUGCAGAGCUGCUUCAUGGUGAGCGUACCUGCCGACGUUCCUUCUCCCUCUCUCACACUCACACUCACACACACACCCACACACACACUCUCUCUCUCUCCGUCUCUAACUCUCCAGAUGGCCAUCAUACAGGAUCAGUGAAACAGUCCUCUGGCGGCCAUUGUGAGGGCGUAAAGAAAAAAGAAAAAAAGAAAACAGCUUGUGAUUUGCGAUUUGUUCAUGAGCCAAUGACCAGGCAAAGUUGUCCCACUGAUCGCAUGUAGCGGCCUGAUAAGGCUGCCAUGGAGAUUGUCACCGCACGAGCAGGAAAAACACACAUGAAGCAAAAGGCUCUGCUUUUUGUUUCACACGCAGGCAAAAAAUCCUCACAGAGCGUACUUGGCUGCUGUCGGUACUAACUCAUCCUAAUCCAGGUUCACACUUCAAACCAGGCCCACAGUUUGGCAAACAGAUCCGGACCAGAUGAAGCCGUGAUUCCUGCCGUCUCCCCUCAAUCUCUUUCAAGUGAAAAAACGUCUGCUGAGACCACACUCUCUCUGCACGGUCCAACAGAGCCUUCGCCUGUCUUUCCAUUGUUUUCCCCGACACUAAAAAGACAGUUUCCAACAACAUGCAAGGUGUAAUUAUUUUUUUUUUUAUAUAUAUGUAUGCAUGUUUGGUGGAAUAGUUCAUUCAGGCUGUUUUGCAUCAGCAUGUAUAGCAGUGGGAUCAGUAAUGGCGUAUCUAAGGAAACCCGGUGGCUAUAGAUGACAAGACUGAUUAAGCCAUUAAAGUCCUUGAUAUGUAUUUAGCAUAAUCUGCCCUGUCUGCAAAUAAGGAGGCAGGGAGCUGGUAGCGACUGUUUUUUUUUUUAUCAAAAGCUGCUAGUUAGCUCAAUCAAAGCAGCUGCUGGGAAGCAUCAGCUUUAAAUCAGCGUUAUGAGGAAGAGAGAUGUGCUCUCUCUCUCUCUCUCUCUCUCUCUGGCGUGAAGAGAUUCAUUCCUGUCAUAUGAAGAGAUGAGGAGUGAUCUGCCGUGGCCCAUGUUCCUGCCAGCCUCCGGUCCUUUCAUGUUCUCGGCUUAAUUUGAGCUGAACCAAUGUUUAUCAUUCCGCAGCAACUGGGCCGAGUGGCUGGGAGGGAGGACAGUUCUGCUCCUGAUCUGCUUCUUCUUCUCUUUCUUUCGCUCACAUUGUUGUUUUGCUUGUAGACUGCAGUACUAUUUACCCUCUGGGAUAGAUUAGCGCUCUAAUCUAACCAGAUAAUAUUUUUAAUCAACAUCUGCAUUUUAUCCAUGUUGUGUUACACGAUGACACUUUAUGGCUGCAUAAUUAGGAAUAUAAUUCAUCCAUAUUAGUUGCAGAACAACACACAAAAGGAACUCGGCAGCCAAUUGUUCUUCCUAGUGAGGAUUAUAAUAUUUUAGAAAUAAUAUAUGUAAUAUUACUUUUAACUAAAACUAAAGACUGCUAUGCAUCGAGGAUUGAAAUCGCUCAUGUGUGGAAUGCUAACAUCAAACCCUAAUCUUAUUCUGUUGGAUGAAAAAGAAGACAAUACAAUGGUCUCCAGGUUUUCUCGAAAUUACAAGUGUGGGAGGAUAUACCUUCCUUUAUUAAGCCGUGCAUUAACACCACAGGAGAAUUCAGUAUUCAUGUACCCUGCUUACAACCACAGCUUAGUUGAACAUAUUGGAAAAGUGAUCUUUUGUUUAACCAGACUACUUGUCUUUUUUCUUCAGAGAUGUGGAGGCAAAUUACAUUUUCCCUUCUUCUAUCCCUUCUUCUUCUUCUUCUCUCUCACUCGCCUGCCCUCCCUCUUCUCUCACUCAGCUGCACACUCCUCCUUGUCUCUCCAAAAAGCAAGCGGGCUGUCGUCUCUCCCUUCUGUCUGCCCCAUCUGUGAUGCAGUAUGGGCCACUGGCUUGGUAAUGACGGGCGGGCGGAGCGCGGGGCUGCGCACGAGGCAAAGAGGGGGAAGAAAAACAGACAAAAACAACCCGUCUAAAAUGGAAGACAAACCUCUAAUCAGUUGUCUCACCAAGUCUACCAAGAGGUCUCGCCUUGCUGAUAAAAAAAGGUUUUUGCAGUAGCGGCUCUCACUCGGUCCCACGUUCCUCCCACCCAUGCGACCGUGUGACACGCUGUGUCAUACGCUGCAGAGAUGCGAGGUGGUAAAGAGGCGGAGGAAAAGAGUCUCGCUAUCACAGCAGAUGUGAACCCUCCAAAAGCCAUCGGACCAGAAUUGGUACCAUGUGUUUUUUUUUUUUUUUUUUUUUUCCUUCCGGCCCCGUACUUGUGUUAGAGUGAGGAAAAAGGCCCAGGGGCUCGUUACAACUUUAAUAUACUGUACAAUCACAGUAAUUGAGUAGGAUUUUCAAGUUCUUCCAGUCAUGGCUUUAAUUUAUGAAGUCCCCAUGAAAGUUUAAUGUAUCAGCAGUUGUAGAGUCGCAGCUAUCUAAAUCAUUCUGCAGCUAUCUCUGCCCGUGCUGCCUGCCAAGUCCCGCCGUUAGCGUCCCGUGCCCUAGAAAGAUGGCCAGAUUGCUCCAAAGGCACGACUGUUGCCGGACGUCUGUUCAACACAUUGUACACCUAGAGGUCUUUCACAGAGCCGUCCGAUUGGCUGGGAGCUACCCAAACGGGGUGCUGACACCAAUUCUGAUGCUGUUCACCCAAAACAAAUCCACCGUGUAACUUCAGGGGAUUUUCUUCUUCUUCUUCUAUUGUAUCAUCCAUGCUAGCGAGCACAGGAUCCCUGUUGCUUGAUGAGUGUAAUAUAGCAUGCUCACUUAAUUAUGGAGCAGCUCUCAUGAGAGGCAUAUUAGAGAAUGCAGACAAUAUGAAUAUGAGGAUCCCAGCUCCCCUUUGCUUAUGAAUCGUGGGGAACGCAGCAAUUUGCGUUGCAGGAGAUAUGAUGUGCCAUGUCCUCGUUUUGUUUUUUUAGCAACACGAGACCUGACCGAGAUGUUUGUUGUUGUUAUUAAUAUUUUGUCAGGAAGCGGGGGAUCUGAGUGACACGCGGCCCUGGAAGGGACUUAUUAUUAAAAGAAGUUAUUGUCGGCGAUCGCCGUAGAGAGAUGCAACACGGUGAUUAAUGGUGUGUUUUUAAAGCUGACAAAAAAGCGCAGGGAGACUCCAACCUGGGAGGACUGCACUGAGGAAUCAUUGCGAGGUUUACCUCUAAUGAAAGAAGCCAUCCUUCAGAUGUGCAUCACACUGGACUGCUAAGGGCCAUAGGGAAAAUGAGUGUUCUGAUUUAUAUUUGUUCUGACCUACUUAAUGUUCUUCAAUUCAGAUUUCAGAUUUAGACACAUUUCUUUUAAAUAUUAUAUCAUGAUUGCAUCACUUAAGCAUUAAAAGGAAAACAAGCUUGUUACGGCGUGUCCCUCUGUGACUUGACAGGUAGUGGGACAACAUCAAGAGACUCAAGACUAUCACGGUCGCUUGUCACUCCUAAAUAAAGUCGGCCCAUCUCGGUCACGCUGUCUCUGCGUCUCAGCUUCAGGACCAUACAGAUGAUGUCCCCGGAGACGCUUCCUUUAAACCCUGGUUCCCUAUUUCAAACUGAAAUAAAGCACAGAACAGAAACAGGCUUGCGACAGUCUAGUUGUCACAGUCCAGUGCAGUUCAAUCAUACCCCCUCCCCCCCUCCCCCCCUCCUGCCUCGUCCUAUCCCACGCUGUCUGCCUUAGAGGUGAAGUCAAAGCUGGCAGCUUCCCAUCUUAUCAGCUUUUUUCCCAUCACACACUUAUCAAAGCUCCCUUUUCUUCUCCUCCUGCCGCAGUUGUUUUGUUUACAUUGCUUGUCACGGCACGUAAACACCGGCAGUUAUCUCUCAGAUGGCAACAUCUCCGAUAAGACACAUCUGCUCUGUUGUACGUCUCUCUGGUGGAUGUAGUAGCAAAGUGCGAGCUCUGUGAGCGGAAAUAUGACUCGACUGGUAAAAGUGAAGUUCAUGCUGAUUCAUUUUCUUUGAAGCGAGCAUAGCAUGGCCUUAUUGUCAGUGUAUCAUCUGACACUUUGAAUAAAAAGAGAUUUUUCUUUUGCAACUCCUGUUCGGAUUUGCUGCUUUUCACUGCUUUAUAUCAUUGUAAACUGACUAUUUUAUAGUAUUUUUUUAUUUUAUUUUUCAAAACAAGCUAUUUGAAGAUGUCAUCUUGGAGUCUGGGAAAAUUAGAUGGCACUGUUUUUCUGAAAUAAUUCUAUUUAGCCCUUAGUGUGAAUCAAACUUGGUGGGGAGCUUUUCCCUCUUAACGUGUGUGUGUGUGUGUGUGUGUGUGUGUGUGUGUGUGUGUGUGUGUGUGUGUGUGUGUGUGUGUGUGUGUGUGUGUGUGUGUGUACGCUCCUCAUGAUAUGUUAUGAUUGGCUGAGAAAAUUCUUUUCCACUAUUUUGGGAGAUCGCACCAUCAUGUGUAUUCCACUAUCGGUCUCCUCCUCGUCCCGUUUUGUUUACAGGAUGGCGGCGAUGUGCGCUCGCUGCUCGCGCUGUAAGAAUGGCUGCACUUUGAUAUGAUCUCCCCAAUUAUCUGUCGUCAAUUCUGCCGCGUAUUAUUCCUCUCUCUCUGCGCGGCAGCUGGGGAGGAGAUUGGUUUUGUGCGUGUCGAACGGCAACAGCUGCAUCCACUAAAACAGACAACUACCUUUGCAGUCCUCCCUUUUUGGUCUCCCUCCCCCUCUUUCUCUCUCGCUCAGUGGUGGGCAGGUCACCCUGAAUUAUUCAUCAGUGUGAAAUGAAAAAGCUCAUGGAUAUUGAAUAUCCCCUCUGAAGUGGUGGCCAACCUUGUGUGUGUUUUUUUUCUUCUUCUUCCCUUUCUUUUUUUCCCCUUUGCAGCUGAAAAGAGUAAAGAGCGGCAGACCUCAUUGCCAGGCUAUUUCAAAGGUUAACCGAUUGCUUUACCUCGCGCACGUAUUUACUUUCUUCACGGUCCGUGGCCGGCAUUGAGGGGUUGUAGAGAGAUGAGGAGGCGCAGAGAAUGAAGAAAAAGAGUGAGAUAGUGAGGAGAUGAAAGAAUAGAACAGGGAUCUGUGUUCCUGCAGAUGUUUUUUUGUCCCUUUGACCCCCCCCCCCCCCCCCCCAGUGAGCCACCUCGGUGUGGAGCUAACCUCUCCGGUGGCGUGUUGCGAGGCCCGUUCCUUCCUGGAACGCCUGUGGUCGGUUGUGGUCGUCCUGAUCGACCGGUUGUCAUUAGUUUCCCAUGCGGCCCACUGUGUUCCUCCAUUGUCCCCCUGCCCGGUCUUUUGUCCUGUGGUUUGAUCUGCGGCCCACGCUGCAAAUCAAUGCUACUGGUUGCCAUUCAUUCACCUCCGCAGCCAGCAAACACAGCAGGGACUCUCAGACCAUCUCCCAUGUGAGAGCGUAUAAAAUGAGAAAGAAAAAAGAAGAUAAGUGGGGAAAAAUCCAUCAAGCCUUAGUUGUUUGUUUCCACAGAUUUAGGACAUUUUUGUCAAUUUAGAAUAUUUGUGUGUCCAUUUUUUUCCUGAAAAUUGUCUAUAAUGCUGUUUCUGUGAAGGACGGAGACUUAAAAGAGCUUCCUUUAUGCCAGAGAGCAGAUGCUAAGAUAAUGAAUCCAUGAAAUAAAUAAAAACUACUCAAGGGCCGAGCCCCCUCCUCCCCUGUUUGGUAUGUUGUACAUGCUAAUAGGACACGGAGUGUUUUAUUCGUUCAAUAAUAUCCGAGAGAGCAGCGCAGCAUAACCCUGCGUCGCUCUCAUUGGCCAUUAGGUUGCUACUACCCUGUACCCUUUCAGUCAUUACAGUCCAUUUUCCUCCGCUCCCCAAUUUGUACUGCAGCCUAGACAAUUACACAGGAAUCCUUUUAAGAGUAUUCCCAAGCCGUACAAAAGACCAAGCAGCCAGAGCUUUAACUGGCAAACCUUUUUCAAAAGUAUUCUUCACAGAGUUGUAAUGACGGACAAAUGCAGAGGGAGGGUAAAGCUAUUUUAUUUUCCUAGGAAAUAAAACCAGUCGACUGAUUUGUGUUCCAGGAAAUGUUUUUGAGGCUCUGCAUUUUCUUUUUUCUUUUUGCUUGUUUGAGAAAAUCCUGUCACUUGCAGGUAAUUGCGCUUUAGCUUAAGCGAAAUGCACACAGGAAGCGAGGCAGCCUCGGCGUAGCUCGGAGGUGUCGGAUGCUCCAGGUGUCGUAUCGUGUGAACGGAACGCAAACUCCAGUUACAGUGGAGGUUUUU